rnacentral:rRNA from 2 species
AGUUUGAUCCUGGCUCAGAUUGAACGCUGGCGGCAGGCCUAACACAUGCAAGUCGAACGGUAACAGGAAGCAGCUUGCUGCUUUGCUGACGAGUGGCGGACGGGUGAGUAAUGUCUGGGAAACUGCCUGAUGGAGGGGGAUAACUACUGGAAACGGUGGCUAAUACCGCAUAACGUCGCAAGACCAAAGAGGGGGACCUUCGGGCCUCUUGCCAUCAGAUGUGCCCAGAUGGGAUUAGCUUGUUGGUGAGGUAACGGCUCACCAAGGCGACGAUCCCUAGCUGGUCUGAGAGGAUGACCAGCCACACUGGAACUGAGACACGGUCCAGACUCCUACGGGAGGCAGCAGUGGGGAAUAUUGCACAAUGGGCGCAAGCCUGAUGCAGCCAUGCCGCGUGUAUGAAGAAGGCCUUCGGGUUGUAAAGUACUUUCAGCGGGGAGGAAGGUGUUGUGGUUAAUAACCACAGCAAUUGACGUUACCCGCAGAAGAAGCACCGGCUAACUCCGUGCCAGCAGCCGCGGUAAUACGGAGGGUGCAAGCGUUAAUCGGAAUUACUGGGCGUAAAGCGCACGCAGGCGGUCUGUCAAGUCGGAUGUGAAAUCCCCGGGCUCAACCUGGGAACUGCAUUCGAAACUGGCAGGCUUGAGUCUUGUAGAGGGGGGUAGAAUUCCAGGUGUAGCGGUGAAAUGCGUAGAGAUCUGGAGGAAUACCGGUGGCGAAGGCGGCCCCCUGGACAAAGACUGACGCUCAGGUGCGAAAGCGUGGGGAGCAAACAGGAUUAGAUACCCUGGUAGUCCACGCCGUAAACGAUGUCUACUUGGAGGUUGUGCCCUUGAGGCGUGGCUUCCGGAGCUAACGCGUUAAGUAGACCGCCUGGGGAGUACGGCCGCAAGGUUAAAACUCAAAUGAAUUGACGGGGGCCCGCACAAGCGGUGGAGCAUGUGGUUUAAUUCGAUGCAACGCGAAGAACCUUACCUGGUCUUGACAUCCACAGAACUUUCCAGAGAUGGACUGGUGCCUUCGGGAACUGUGAGACAGGUGCUGCAUGGCUGUCGUCAGCUCGUGUUGUGAAAUGUUGGGUUAAGUCCCGCAACGAGCGCAACCCUUAUCCUUUGUUGCCAGCGGUCCGGCCGGGAACUCAAAGGAGACUGCCAGUGAUAAACUGGAGGAAGGUGGGGAUGACGUCAAGUCAUCAUGGCCCUUACGACCAGGGCUACACACGUGCUACAAUGGCGCAUACAAAGAGAAGCGACCUCGCGAGAGCAAGCGGACCUCAUAAAGUGCGUCGUAGUCCGGAUUGGAGUCUGCAACUCGACUCCAUGAAGUCGGAAUCGCUAGUAAUCGUGGAUCAGAAUGCCACGGUGAAUACGUUCCCGGGCCUUGUACACACCGCCCGUCACACCAUGGGAGUGGGUUGCAAAAGAAGUAGGUAGCUUAACCUUCGGGAGGGCGCUUACCACUUUGUGAUUCAUGACUGGGGUGAAGUCGUAACAAGGUAGCC